AUAUCAUGUUGAAAGCACCGGUUCUCGUCCGAUCACCGAAGUUAAGCAACAUCGAGCCUAGUUAGUACUUAGAUGGGUGACCGCUUGGGAAACCUAGGU
rnacentral:rRNA from 1 species